rnacentral:rRNA from 1 species
UACAGAGGUCCCAAGCGUUGUUCGGAUUCACUGGGCGUAAAGGGUGCGUAGGCGGUCGGGUAAGUCUGAUGUGAUAUCUCACAGCUUAACUGUGAAACUGCAUUGGAUACUAUCCGGCUCGAGGAAUGGAGGGGAGACUGGAAUACUUGGUGUAGCAGUGAAAUGCGUAGAUAUCGUGAGGAACACCAGAGGCGAAGGCGGUUUCCUGGACAGUUACUGACGCUCAGGCACGAAAGCAUGGGGAGCAAAAGGG